rnacentral:rRNA from 1 species
CACGUAGGGGGCGAGCGUUGUCCGGAAUCAUUGGGCGUAAAGAGCUCGUAGGCGGCUCAGUAAGUCGGGUGUGAAACCCCCAGGCUCAACCUGGGGACGCCACGUCGAUACUGCUGUGGCUAGAGUCCAGUAGAGGAGUGUGGAAUUCCCGGUGUAGCGGUGAAAUGCGCAGAUAUCGGGAGGAACACCAACGGCGAAGGCAGCACUCUGGGCUGGAACUGACGCUGAGGAGCGAAAGCGUGGGUAGCAAACAGGA